GAUGAACGCUGGCGGCGUGCCUAAUACAUGCAAGUCGAGCGAACAGACGAGGAGCUUGCUCCUCUGACGUUAGCGGCGGACGGGUGAGUAACACGUGGAUAACCUACCUAUAAGACUGGGAUAACUUCGGGAAACCGGAGCUAAUACCGGAUAAUAUAUUGAACCGCAUGGUUCAAUAGUGAAAGACGGUUUUGCUGUCACUUAUAGAUGGAUCCGCGCCGCAUUAGCUAGUUGGUAAGGUAACGGCUUACCAAGGCAACGAUGCGUAGCCGACCUGAGAGGAUGAUCUGCCACACUGGAACUGAGACACGGUCCAGACUCCUACGGGAGGCAGCAGUAGGGAAUCUUCCGCAAUGGGCGAAAGCCUGACGGAGCAACGCCGCGUGAGUGAUGAAGGUCUUCGGAUCGUAAAACUCUGUUAUUAGGGAAGAACAAAUGUGUAAGUAACUAUGCACGUCUUGACGGUACCUAAUCAGAAAGCCACGGCUAACUACGUG
rnacentral:rRNA from 1 species